rnacentral:rRNA from 1 species
AGCAGUGGGGAAUCUUGGACAAUGGGCGCAAGCCUGAUCCAGCCAUGCCGCGUGAGUGAUGAAGGCCUUAGGGUUGUAAAACUCUUUCGCCGAGGACGAUAAUGACGGUACUCGGAGAAGAAGCUCCGGCUAACUUCGUGCCAGCAGCCGCGGUAAUACGAAGGGGGCUAGCGUUGUUCGGAUUUACUGGGCGUAAAGCGCGUGUAGGCGGAUUUGUAAGUUG